UACGUAGGGGGCAAGCGUUGUCCGGAUUUACUGGGCGUAAAGCGCACGUAGGCGGCUUUGUAAGUUAGAGGUGAAAGCCUGGAGCUCAACUCCAGAAUUGCCUUUAAGACUGCAUCGCUUGAAUCCAGGAGAGGUGAGUGGAAUUCCGAGUGUAGAGGUGAAAUUCGUAGAUAUUCGGAAGAACACCAGUGGCGAAGGCGGCUCACUGGACUGGUAUUGACGCUGAGGUGCGAAAGCGUGGGGAGCAAACAGG
rnacentral:rRNA from 1 species